UACAGAGGGGGCGAGCGUUGUUCGGAAUUACUGGGCGUAAAGGGCGCGUAGGCGGCCUUCUAAGUCGAACGUGAAAUCCCCGGGCUCAACCCGGGAACUGCGUCCGAUACUGGGAGGCUUGGAUUUGGGAGAGGGAUGCGGAAUUCCAGGUGUAGCGGUGAAAUGCGUAGAUAUCUGGAGGAACACCGGUGGCGAAGGCGGCAUCCUGGACCAAUAUUGACGCUGAGGAGCGAAAGCUAGGGGAGCAAACGGG
rnacentral:rRNA from 1 species